GCGCGAAAACUUUACAAUGCUGGCAACAGCGAUAAGGGGACCUCGAGUGCCAGGAUACAAUCCUGGCUGUCGUAAUGCCUAAAAAGCAUUGCAUAGCAAGGGCCGGGCAAGACCGGUGCCAGCCGCCGCGGUAACACCGGCGGCUCGAGUGGUAACCGCUAUUAUUGGGUCUAAAGGGUCUGUAGCCGGCUGGAUAAGUCUCUUGGGAAAUCCGGCAGCUUAACUGUCGGGCUUUCAGGGGAUACUGUCCGGCUCGAGACCGGGAGAGGUGAGAGGUACUUCAGGGGUAGGGGUGAAAUCUUGUAAUCCUUGAAGGACCACCAGUGGCGAAGGCGUCUCACCAGAACGGAUCUGACGGCAAGGGACGAAAGCUAGGGGCACGAACCGGAUUAGAUACCCGGGUAGUCCUAGCCGUAAACGAUACUCGCUAGGUGUCGGCCACGGUGCGACCGUGGUCGGUGCCGUAGGGAAGCCGUGAAGCGAGCCACCUGGGAAGUACGGCCGCAAGGCUGAAACUUAAAGGAAUUGGCGGGGGA
rnacentral:rRNA from 1 species